GCCGGCAGAACUUAGGCUGCGGGACCCCGGGCACUGUUGCUGCUGCGGGAGGGGCUGAAAGAAGUGACACUUCUUGGUCAGAAUGUUAAUAGUUUUUGGGACAAUUCAGAGGUCCAGUUCAACAAUGCAGUACCUACCAAUCUCAGUCGUGGCUUUACCACCAACUAUAAAACCAAGCAAGGAGGACUUCGUUUUGCUCAUCUUCUGGAUCAGGUCUCCAGAGUAGAUCCUGAAAUGAGGAUCCGCUUUACCUCUCCCCACCCCAAGGAUUUUCCCGAUGAGGUUCUGCAGCUGAUUCAUGAGAGAGAUAACAUCUGUAAACAGAUCCACCUGCCAGCCCAGAGUGGAAGCAGCCGUGUGUUGGAGGCCAUGCGGAGGGGAUAUUCAAGAGAAGCUUAUGUGGAGUUAGUUCACCAUAUUAGAGAAUCUAUUCCAGGUGUGAGCCUUAGCAGCGAUUUCAUUGCUGGCUUUUGUGGUGAGACGGAGGAAGAUCACGUCCAGACAGUCUCUUUGCUCCGGGAAGUUCAGUACAACAUGGGCUUCCUCUUUGCCUACAGCAUGAGACAGAAGACACGGGCAUAUCAUAGGCUGAAGGAUGAUGUCCCGGAAGAGGUAAAAUUAAGGCGUUUGGAGGAACUCAUCACUAUCUUCCGAGAAGAAGCAACAAAAGCCAAUCAGACCUCUGUGGGCUGUACCCAGUUGGUGCUAGUGGAAGGGCUCAGUAAACGCUCUGCCACUGACCUGUGUGGCAGGAAUGAUGGAAACCUUAAGGUGAUCUUCCCUGAUGCAGAGAUGGAGGAUGUCAAUAACCCUGGGCUCAGGGUCAGAGCCCAGCCUGGGGACUAUGUGCUGGUGAAG
rnacentral:sRNA from 1 species